GGACAUAGGCACCGGAGCUGACUCGGGCAAGGUGGUACCCGAGCCUCGACGUGGCAACCUGUAAACAGCAGAGGCAGGGCCGGCGAGCGGCCGAGAUGCCGCAAGGAGGCUCGGAGGGGCAAAGCCGCAUGCCGACGAGCG